AGAAGCCCAGCAACACCAAAGGAGUGGCUGGGAACUUAACUUUGACUCUGCCCAUUGUGAAAACGUGUGGGUCCCAGACCACAUUCCCAUCCUCUGGUGAGCUGUUGGCGACUGAACUUUGGGACAGUCACUAACUUCUUUGGUUUUUCUUCCUUUGAAUAGCCUGAUGGCAUAUCUGCUCUGUCUGCAUGCACAUCCCCUGCUGCUGAGGGUAUUCCUUAUAGGAAUAUUUGUCUCUUCCAAAAGUUUUAGGUAACAAACAGAUAAGCUGAAAGCCCAGCAGUCAGCAGCCCAGACCCUUGAUGCUGAUUCUCACCUACUGCCUAACCUUGGCCAAAUCACUUAAAGCUCCGUGUUUCAUUUACAACAAAUGAAGACUGAGGCUUGGUCAUGUCAGUAGUGCUCUUGAACCCAAGUUUUACACUGUGUGCAUUUAUUUCUGCAGACUGAGGAAACACAAGCUGGGUGCAAAAUAAGACCUUUUUCAUUUGGCCGUUAGAUGGGAUCUUUUUGAUGUACCCACAAUCUGCAGUGUUCCUGGGUGAUAAUAGAGGUGAUAAAUGAAGUGGUCUACAUCACUUAUGAAGAGGGUUGCUCUGGCUGCUGGCAUUAAACAGAGCAUGCAAUAUCAGAUCAGCUAUUUCUGCCUCCCCUGAAACCACCAGCUGUGGACACCUACACACCUCUCAAUAUCUGGCCACUGAUGUCCUUCUAACUACAUUUCAGCCACCAUGGUUGAUCCUCCUGUUAGAGCGCCUGUUCACACUUCUGAGAAGCUUCAGUUUUCCCCAGCCUGUGUAUUUUGCAUCAAAUAAUUCAGCAACAAAAUGCUUCCCAAGUUCUGUUUAAAAGAAACCAACAAAACAACCAACCCUAAAUCAAAACUGAGAGGAUGCUACUUGAAUUUCAUAGAAUCAUAGAGUCAUAGAAUAGUUUUGGUUGAAAGGGACCUUCAACAGUCAUCUAAUCCACCCCCCUGCAAUGAACAGGGACAUCUUCAACUAGAUCAGGUUGCCAAAAACCACAUCCAGCCUGGCCUUGAAUGUCUGGAUGGCGCAUCCAC
rnacentral:lncRNA from 14 species